UAAUUGAAGAGUUUGAUCAUGGCUCAGAUUGAACGCUGGCGGCAGGCCUAACACAUGCAAGUCGAGCGGCAGCACAGAGGAACUUGUUCCUUGGGUGGCGAGCGGCGGACGGGUGAGUAAUGCCUGGGAAAUUGCCCGGUAGAGGGGGAUAACCAUUGGAAACGAUGGCUAAUACCGCAUAACCUCGCAAGAGCAAAGCAGGGGACCUUCGGGCCUUGUGCU
rnacentral:rRNA from 1 species